UUAACCUGCAUUGAAUUCGUGGCCAAAAAUACAGAAACCGAUUCCAUCAUCUCCCUCCCCGACUAACUCCCGCGAGUCACAUCCCCAAGCCCUCAGCUCUCGCCUCCCUUGAUUGCUCGACGCCAUGGCUUGGCGAUUAGGGUUCCCUAGGGCCGCCCCCUCCACCACUCGGCCACUCCAGCUCCCCUCCUCUUCCCUCUCCACCCAAUCUGUACCAGGACUCCAAGAUCACCGCCGUUGAUGUGGUGGGACGCGGCAGAGGCGGAGGUAGUCCUCAAACAGAUCUGGGACCUCCACGUCUGCCUCAGCGAUGCCAUCCUCACGUCCUCCCGCACCCACUUCCUUCUGCUCCGUCUUCCCCCAGCACACGCUGUCCGCCAAAGGGACCCACCGUGGCAACGGUAGGGAGGUUACGGCGGCAGGUGCCGCAGCGCUGGCGGUGGCCGUGGCCGAAGCUAGGAGCCUGCACGUGGUAUGCAUCCCUUUCACCCCUCUGGCCUCCCAAUUUCUUCCCAGCUAUACAAGUGAGUCAUGGACUACUUGCCCCCUCUCCUUUAAAUUGCCCCUGUGAAAAAUAUGUUGCUACCUGAUUCUGAACUCUUGAGUACAUAUCCUCUGCACAUGUCAUUCAAACACAUUUCAUUUUCACUCUGCCCGUUGUAUAUUGUAGUAAUAUGUAAUUGUUUGAACUUUAUUUCUGAAUGUAUGGCUCCAUUCAAUUUUGGCUCAUGUCUCUGUUAAGAUAGAAUGAUCGUUUGUAUUUGUAUUGUCCUUUUCUUCAGGUUAUUUUCUGUUUGUAUAUUGCACAUCAUCAGCCUUUUCCCUAGCUCUUGUUUUUGAAGUUUCAACAAAUAUACUUUCCAAGAAAAAGAAGGGAAUGCAUUUUACUUUGAUCUCUUUAUUAGGAUAUUGUGAUUCCUUAUCUGCAUUUUUCAGAACAAUGUGAAGGAGAUAAAUCACGUGCUCUUGUUGGUGGCAUGACCGGUUAAAACUGGUCAGCAGCUAAUGUUGCGGCCUUUUCGAUGAAGACUAGAGGAAGGAUACCUUCUCGGUUUGUCAAGUGGGUGAAAGAUGAGUGGCCACAGGUUUAACUAACAGAUGCAUGGUUAGCUCCAUAAGGUUUGACAUUUGUUUUAAUCAAGGAUAUCAUCUCACCUGCAUCUACAGGUAUAUCUUUGGCUCCUUGCUAACUAAUGAUUCACAAUUUUGUCACCUAAAGUAGACUUAUACAUGCUUACUUUAAGUAGUGAAUAGUAUGGAAGCAAAUGAUUUCGUAGUUUAAUAAGCUGGUAUGCAUUUUGUAGCUGGAUCAGUGCCAGCUGGUGGUCUAAUGUGAAGGUAUAACCUUGCUUCAGAUGGUUGCAGUAGUGCUGCCAUCUGUCUUGUAUAAUGAUAAUAAUUUUCAUUUUGGAUUGGUUGUACUCAGUUUUCUCGACAGUGGCCUAACCGUCCACUGAAAGGGACAAUUCCCCUUUUGUUCGAUUGUUCAGUUUAGCUAGGUCAACAAACUCAUUAUUUACCAAAGAAUUAAUUUUGGUAUAGCAUGACUAAAUUUCUUGAUCUAGACACAGAUAUAUGUAGUACACAGGUAUGAAAACAUCACUUCUUAAGCAAUUGGGCAAGGUAGGCAACAUAACAUGUUAAAUGGCAGUCAAUUAUCCAUUGCUGUACUGCAAUGUAUAGUUAAUUCCUAGUCUCAAUCUAGUACUGCAGCGCAUGAUUUUUGUAUUUAUAUUAUGUACUUGCCAUUAUAAUAUAUAAUUUUACUUGUAUUCUAAAUUACCCUUCUCAUUUCUUGAUGCUAAAACAUUUCUUUAAAUUUGCAUAUGUGGUUUAGAUGCCUGACUAAGAGAAUGACACUACAAGCACAUCCUAUCUCUGCUGUUUAUUUUCCAAGCAGGUGUGAUAUCUCCUAUUCCGGCAGUAUGGACUCCCUGAUCUCUCACUACACCUUGCUGAUAAGGUAUUCUGUGAUUGGUGGGCGCAGAUCAAUGCUCAUCCUGGAAACAUCCAUGGUUGAAUGCGCCACUCAUUUUAGGUGCUUGGAUGUUGUGGUGACACCGCAAUGAUAGUGUGUUUAAUGGAGUUUCCCCUAGUGACUAGCAGGUUGACCUCGUAUUCAGGAAAAAAAAUCAAUGGGCAAAAUGUUUUCACCCAGGUAAUUGUUGCAUUGUAUGAAUAGGCUUAGAUACCUAGUUAGAGUAUGAAUGUGCGUGUACUGUGACACAAGAAGAUUUAUUAUCCAUGUAUGAAUUAAUGUUAAAUCUGUUACAUGUAUGAAUUCCCGUCGUUGAAAGACUAAAAGAACCUCUUAUCUCA